UUUUAUAUAUACACACACACACCCACACACCUAGAUGUAAAUAUCAGAAAAUGAAAGCUGUAAUUCUGAUCUAUUGUCUCGUAUUCAUCUUUUGAUUUCAAAUAUAUAAAUAAACAUCUUAUGAACACAAUACAGAACAGUCUAGAGCUUACAGCAGAAACAUGUAAACAUCCAUGUGCACACACAAACACGCACACCCCCGUGUACAUGCUGACGGAGCACAUCUUGUCAAACAGCUGGUCACUCGGUCUGUAAAACCGCGUGUGAGAAUCCAGACACACCCUGCAGCUCGGUCAGCUUUUGAGCAGUUGACAUUCCGAUAUGCGAGAUCUGCUCAGACAGGCCACGACUACCCCGACUCUUAACAGUUCCAGGAAGCAGAUAUGGCCUUGAAAAUUUUGCUUUUGCUAUUUUUGUUCCUCAGCUGUUGAACUAUAUUUAUUAAAUUACUAUUAAAUAAUUAUUAUUGAAUUGGUACACAGGGCCUGAGAGUGAUACCAAGCUCCCAGAAGAGCUUUACUGCUUAAGGGUUAAAAAGAAAAAAAAUAUAUGUGGAUCUUGUCUGCUCAUUGCAAAGUGUAAUCAUUUCAUCAGUGUGAUAAUGGGUCUGCUUAAUUCAUAUGUGAUACACAAAUAUAAUUGUACAAGUUUAUUCUUUAGGAUUCACAAUAAAAUGCAUGGUAGGAAGCUCAUUUUUGGCAUCGUUUAAUGGCCAGUACUCAUGAAACAAAUGAAUUUGAUCUCUGGUUCUCCAAAAAAAAAAAAAAAAAGUGUGUUGUGCUGUUGGUCUUUGUAUGGUUGUGGCUAGUUCAUACUGUAGUUGUUAAUUACCAACACCUCCUUUGUACACUCCAAAAGCAUCCCACCCUUUUUGAAAUCCCUCCAGAUGGAACAGUUGACAUUCCAGUGGGCUUGGUGCAAGAAUUACAGUUCAAGCCCCACCUGCUCAUUGCCUCUACACUUUAUAUUAUAGGUGUCGUUUGGUAGCAGAAUGUCAAGAGCAACACGUUCCUCAACACGAAGACAGACACAGAGAUGCACAUACAUACACACACACACUCCUGCAAGGGCUUGGUUUUUCCGUUUGGUGGUUCCACAGAUGGAGCUCGAUUAAUGUCUGACUUCAAACGCUUAAAGCAGGCUGCGGCAUCACACAGCAGCCUCAUUAAUCACAGUCUACAGAGGGAGAAAACUGGGUUAGGCAGCUACAUACACCCCCUCAGCCACACAGACAUAUAAGCACAUCUCUCUCACACACAUACACACACACACACACACACAUACACACACACACACACACACACACACACACACAGCUAUAAGUCAACUAAACACUGCACAACGACUGCAUGAUUAAGCUCACAGUUAACCUUACGACGAAUAUUUCUGGCAGAAAUAGUGUUUGUAAGGUUCGUAAACACUGGAAUUGCCCUCUCUGGCUAGACUCUCAAGGUACUCACUGUUCUCUCUCUCUCUCUCUCUCUCUCUCCCAGAAACAUAUGAAUCUCUUGCCAUCACUAUGGCAACCCUCCUCCCUGAGUCUGAUCAGCAUCCUCUGUUUCUCACAGAUUAGAAUCUGUAAUCUAUCCCCCCUCCCCACCCAUUUUGGAGAGGGUUGGGGUUGUCAUGGCGGGACAGAGAGAAAGACAGAAAGUGAAUAAAGAAGAGAAAAAGAAAGAUGCCUUUGUGUUUAAGUAAAAGGCAUGAAAUCACCACAGCAACUCAAGUUCUUUGGGCCAAAUGGCAGGCAAUGGCAGCAACGCAAAACAAAAAGCUAAAAAGAAAAAGAUGGAAGGAGGCACACAGAUAGUUUGGUAAAAUGCUGGUUGCUCACAGUAGAGUGACACACAUUACACGUAAUAUCACAGUAAUAUUACACAAACGUCCUGCAACAACAGCUAAAGUGGCUCUGCGGUCAGUUACCGUCUGCUACUUCGGCUCACGUGGAGAAGUCAUUCAAACAGUAGAGUUGUGAUCAUUUUCCUUCCUAUUUAUACCACAACACUGAUGAUUUCUUAAAUCUGAUUAGUCAGAACAUGUUGAUUAAUUUUCUAUAACAAAAGCCAGAUGUAAUUAACAUGAUAGGUUUAUAUUAAUACACUCAUUCUAAUGUGUUAUCAUUAGCGUAGUAACUUAUUCACAGGGACGCUCCACAUAAUCUAAGGCUAAAAAUAAACACGCAAAAUGUAUAAUCUUUGAUAUGGUGAAGGUUUCUGUUAUGAGACGUUUAUUUAACAUUUAUGGAAGGAGUCUCCAGUGUCAGCAUGUUCCAACACCCAGUAAGUUUUCCACCACAGGAGAAUCUUCAGGACAAUGGAGUUUGUUGUGGGUUUUUUUUUUAUUUCAAGACAAAAACUUCCACAGAGAGAGAGAGAGAGAGAGAGAGAGAGAAAGAGAAAGAGUGGCUGUAGAGGGAAUGACUGUCUAUAGCUGCUAUAACCAGUCAUUCCGUCGGCAGCCUCUGUCUGUCUCUCUGUCUGUCUCUCUGUCUGUCUCUCUGUCUGUCUCUCUGUCUGUCUCUCUGUCUGUCUCUCUGGAAGUUUUUGUCUUGAAAUAAGAAAAAAAAACACAGCAACCUUGUCUCACAGACAAGUCCACAACAUUAAAUGUAACAAUAAAUGGUUAAAAAGCAUCACAUUAUUCAUUAAUAAAUUAAAACUUGUAAUUGUUGGCCAAUUGUGCUAUAAGAGGAUUAAAAAAACAACAGGAUGUGUUGUUAUAGGAAAGUAAUCCAUUUUAGGGUGUUACGGUUGUAAAAGUAACUCUGUUUCAAACUGUAGUCUGAUCAUUUUUUUUAAAAAUCUGCUACACCAUUCAUUUAACAUAAAAAAUUGCAACCUUGGCACAAAUGGGAACAUCAUCUUAAUUUCAGAAUCACUCCAGCCUGCAGUUGUCUCCUGUUAUUGUUUCAUCUGUUGUCAUGCUACUCUUCAGUGUUUACCUUUUACUGACUAAUUAUGUUAUAUUUCUCUGUAAAAAUGUACACAUGAACAGUGCUUUAGUUUUCCUGACUCGAUGACCUCCAAAGCCAAAGGCUGCUUACACACAGACAUUCAGUAACCUCAGACGGAAGAAACCACACCAAACGGCAUCUCCGUGGUGACUUCUAGGUCAGCUGUAGGUCAUCACUCCUACCUAUGUGUCUGUGUGUGACAAGUGUGAUGAGUGACAGAACAAAGAAACGGAGGGAAGAUGACAAGGAAACAGGAAGGAGGGGUGGGGAAGGGGACAGAGGACAUGUAGACUAGCAGAUUCUUGAAUCUGCUAAUCUCCAUGAUGUUUAAACCAAUUUAGCAGAUUGUCACCACAUUAACACCAUUUUGAAACGUUGGCCACUUAUCUCUGGGGCGUGGAUUCAGGUCCUAACAACUAAAAAAAUACUGAGUAAUGAUUUUAAAAAAAAACAGCCAUGAAAUACACAAAACUCCUGAUCUGAUCCUAAUCUAUUUCAAACAUUAAUCAACACUUAAUAUUUAUAUGUUUUACUACAUACAAUCCUAUGGGAAGGGAAAAAAAGGCAGCUGGACAAACUGAACACUUGGCAUAGACACACAAUCAGUCGGCUGCACUCGCGUCACGUGACUGCAGGCUGCUGUAAUCCAAAAUUAAAACCACUUCAGUCCUUUAACUCUUUUCAAAAAUUAGCUUGUUCCAUGCUCACGGCUGUCCCUGGUGGACAAAGCAAGGAUAAUGAUAUUGCUCAACAAGCCAACAGCAGACAGACCGAAGACCUCAUCACAAAUCCACAAAUAUUCAUCAUAUCAUAUAUUAAGAUAUCAUGAUUGCUGACUAUCAUGAUCAUAUCUUUUGGCUUCUGCAAUUAAAAUUAAAUGAUUAAUUAUUGCAUUGUUUUGUUUUGUUUUUAAUCAAUCAUUCAGGGGAAUUAAUCCACAAGCUCCCCAUUCAUAGUUUAACAAUGUGUAUAGCUGCAUACUGUGGUGGCUGCUAUACACAUUGUUAAACUAUUUAUUUAUUCGUUUGUUUAGUGAUCUACUCACUGACUAAUGGUCAAUCUUAUUCCGAGUCAAAGACACAGACAUCUAAAGAAUAUAGGAUAGUAAUGUACAUCACGAAAAACUUUUUUUUUUAAAUAAAAAUGAUAAAGCACAGUGGAUUACAAAAAUAAUAGUGAUCAUAAUGUUCACGUCACACAGCUCUACAUCUCCACAUGUACUCAUACCAAGACAAAAAAUAAACACUGUUCUAACUCCACUACACUGUGACUCCUAUAACAUCAUUCUACCAUAAACUGAAAUGAAACCUCGACAACAACCUCAAAGCCAAACUAGGACAAAUG